CGAUACAUAGGGGGACUGAGAGGUUAACCCCCCACACUGGUACUGAGACACGGACCAGACUCCUACGGGAGGCAGCAGUGAGGAAUAUUGGUCAAUGGACGCAAGUCUGAACCAGCCAUGCCGCGUGCAGGAUGACGGCUCUAUGAGUUGUAAACUGCUUUUGUACGAGGGUAAACGCAGAUACGUGUAUCUGUCUGAAAGUAUCGUACGAAUAAGGAUCGGCUAACUCCGUGCCAGCAGCCGCGGUAAUACGGAGGAUUCAAGCGUUAUCCGGAUUUAUUGGGUUUAAAGGGUGCGUAGGCGGUUUGAUAAGUUAGAGGUGAAAUUUCGGGGCUCAACCCUGAACGUGCCUCUAAUACUGUUGAGCUAGAGAGUAGUUGCGGUAGGCGGAAUGUAUGGUGUAGCGGUGAAAUGCUUAGAGAUCAUACAGAACACCGAUUGCGAAGGCAGCUUACCAAACUAUAUCUGACGUUGAGGCACGAAAGCGUGGGGAGCAAACAGGAUUAGAUACCCUGGUAGUCCACGCAGUAAACGAUGAUAACUCGUUGUCGGCGAUACACAGUCGGUGACUAAGCGAAAGCGAUAAGUUAUCCACCUGGGGAGUACGUUCGCAAGAAUGAAACUCAAAGGAAUUGACGGGGGCCCGCACAAGCGGAGGAACAUGUGGUUUAAUUCGAUGAUACGCGAGGAACCUUACCCGGGCUUGAAAGUUAGCGACGAUUCUUGAAAGAGGAUUUCCCUUCGGGGCGCGAAACUAGGUGCUGCAUGGUUGUCGUCAGCUCGUGCCGUGAGGUGUCGGGUUAAGUCCCAUAACGAGCGCAACCCCUACCGUUAGUUGCCAUCAGGUCAAGCUGGGCACUCUGGCGGGACUGCCGGUGUAAGCCGAGAGGAAGGUGGGGAUGACGUCAAAUCAGCACGGCCCUUACGUCCGGGGCUACACACGUGUUACAAUGGGGGGUACAGAAGGCAGCUACACGGCGACGUGAUGCUAAUCCCUAAAGCCUCUCUCAGUUCGGAUUGGAGUCUGCAACCCGACUCCAUGAAGCUGGAUUCGCUAGUAAUCGCGCAUCAGCCAUGGCGCGGUGAAUACGUUCC
rnacentral:rRNA from 1 species